GUCAACAGACACAUUCCAGCCAAUCAGCAGCAGACCCUCCCUUCCAGAUCCUCCCACCUCCUGGACAGCAUCCAUUUUACAUUCAUUGUGAAGCUGCAUUCUUAGUGAGCUGUCCAGGAGGUGGGAGGGUCUGGGAGGGAGGGUCUGCUGCUGAUUGGCUGGAAUGUGUCUGGUG
rnacentral:miRNA from 1 species